AUUGAACGCUGGCGGCAUGCUUUACACAUGCAAGUCGGACGGCAGCACAGAGAAGCUUGCUUCUUGGGUGGCGAGUGGCGAACGGGUGAGUAACAUAUCGGAACGUACCGAGCAGUGGGGGAUAACUAAUCGAAAGAUUAGCUAAUACCGCAUAUCUUCUGAGGAAGAAAGCAGGGGACCAUUUGGCCUUGCGCUGUUUGAGCGGCCGAUAUCUGAUUAGCUAGUUGGUGGGGUAAAGGCCUACCAAGGCGACGAUCAGUAGCGGGUCUGAGAGGAUGAUACGCCACACUGGGACUGAGACACGGCCCAGACUCCUACGGGAGGCAGCAGUGGGGAAUUUUGGACAAUGGGCGCAAGCCUGAUCCAGCCAUGCCGCGUGUCUGAAGAAGGCCUUCGGGUUGUAAAGGACUUUUGUCAGGGAAGAAAAGGGCGGGGUUAAUACCCCUGUCUGAUGACGGUACCUGAAGAAUAAGCACCGGCUAACUACGUG
rnacentral:rRNA from 1 species